AUGAUGUCGAACAUUGUGCGAUUGUUGUUCGUUGGUGUAGUUACAGUUGAUAUGAUUGAAGUGCAGAAAAUAUUGCGGAAUCGGUUGAAGAGAUAUUACCGAAACCGUUACAUUGAAGAUGUAGGCGAUGAUGAAUGUGAUGUUGAAUGUUAUAGAUUUAUGAUGAAGAUGCGCGAGGAGGUGAAGAUGGUUGAAGCAGCAGAUGAUUGA